rnacentral:lncRNA from 1 species
GCGCCAUUUACAAUGCGAGCGGUAGGCCAUUUGCUGCAGCGAAGACGAACUAUGGAUAAAAAUGUAAAACUUUUAUUUUUUAUGUUUUAUUUCAUAAGUAAAAACAAUCUCCCUGGACUAUGUGACUCAGCAGUACUUAUGGAAAACAUUCAAAUUUCAUGCAAGAAUUUAAAAUUAAAUGGAAAGUAUGUUUAUAACAUUGGAGCACGCUGGCUCAAACAUGAACUACAGCAGGAGGAAUGGAGAAAUGAACAGACAGAGAACGAAGGUCGUGGACAGGCGUUGGUCUCGCAAGGCACGGACGUUGUUUUCCAGCGUGAAGCACAUCUCAGGAAGCGGCCUAAUAUUCUGGCCUAUAUUGACCAUGGACAGAACACCGUGAAAAAACAUGAACUGGUCACCAAGGUGACCACUGGAUACCUUGAAACCACAGACUGUAUGAAUAUAACAUACCACGCUCAUGACACUGAAAAAAAGGAGAUAGUGGUCAACUUCAUUGUCUCAGGUAAGUCUUCAAUUUUCUGUUUUCUUUGCAAAGCUGGAGCUUUAUCUGGAGAUGAUAUACCCUGA